UACGAAGGGGGCUAGCGUUGUUCGGAAUUACUGGGCGUAAAGCGUGCGCAGGCGGUCUUCCAAGUCAGUGGUGAAAGCCCGGAGCUCAACUCCGGAAUUGCCAUUGAAACUGUUAGACUUGAGGAUGAGAGAGGUGAGUGGAAUUCCCAGUGUAGAGGUGAAAUUCGUAGAUAUUGGGAAGAACACCGGUGGCGAAGGCGGCUCACUGGCUCAUUACUGACGCUCAGGCGCGAUAGCGUGGGGAUCAAACAGG
rnacentral:rRNA from 1 species